AUGCAUGCACCCUGACGCCCCUGACUGACUGAGUGACCACAGUUUAUCUGCCUGGCUGUGAGAGCGGAGGAGGGGAGUCCUCCUCACUGACUACCCCAGCCAGAGUGACCAUAUCAGGAGUUGAGGAAAGCUGAGCUGGACGAAAAUAAGAGACAAAGCAGAGGAAAGUUGGUGACAACAAUCUUGUUCUGCACAGACAGACAGGAAAGUAGAUCAGAGUACUCUUUAGAUGGAACCUGGAUCUGCAGUAACUACUGAGGAAAGCCAAUCAAAAACACCCUUUCAAUGGAAGGUACACAAUGAAUAUGAAUCUAUCAAUUUCAAUGCUGUACUGAGGCCCUACCACCCACUGUAACGCUGUCAUUUCUUCAACCCCUUUCCAUUCACAUCAAGUGUGAGCAAUAAUGCUCUCUCACAUUCCUGUUCUCAAUGGCUUAUACGCUAUGCCCUCUCUGCUCUGCUCUGAACAGACCGACCUCACCCUUACAGGGUACAGACAAAUUA